GACGAACGCUGGCGGCGUGCCUAAUACAUGCAAGUCGAACGCUUCUUUUUCCACCGGAGCUUGCUCCACCGGAAAAAGAGGAGUGGCGAACGGGUGAGUAACACGUGGGUAACCUGCCCAUCAGAAGGGGAUAACACUUGGAAACAGGUGCUAAUACCGUAUAACAAUCGAAACCGCAUGGUUUUGAUUUGAAAGGCGCUUUCGGGUGUCGCUGAUGGAUGGACCCGCGGUGCAUUAGCUAGUUGGUGAGGUAACGGCUCACCAAGGCGACGAUGCAUAGCCGACCUGAGAGGGUGAUCGGCCACAUUGGGACUGGGACACGGCCCAAACUCCUACGGGAGGCAGCAGUAGGGAAUCUUCGGCAAUGGACGAAAGUCUGACCGAGCAACGCCGCGUGAGUGAAGAAGGUUUUCGGAUCGUAAAACUCUGUUGUUAGAGAAGAACAAGGAUGAGAGUAACUGUUCAUCCCUUGACGGUAUCUAACCAGAAAGCCACGGCUAACUACGUGCCAGCCGCCGCAGUAAAAC
rnacentral:rRNA from 1 species